rnacentral:rRNA from 1 species
GCAAUACACGUAAAGUCUAGUGGCGUAAGGGUGCGUAACACGUGGGCAAUCUGCCGAGAAGUGGGGGAUAGCUCGCCGAAAGGCGAAUUAAUACCGCAUGUGGUUAGUGAAGACAUCUUCGCGAUACCAAAGCCGGGGCAACCUGGCGCUUCUUGAUGAGCCCGCGGCCUAUCAGCUAGUUGGUGAGGUAACGGCUCACCAAGGCUAUGACGGGUAGCUGGUCUGAGAGGACGACCAGUCACACUGGAACUGAGACACGGUCCAGACACCUACGGGUGGCAGCAGUCGAGAAUUUUUCUCAAUGGGGGAAACCCUGAAGGAGCGACGCCGCGUGGAGGAUGAAGGUCUUCGGAUUGUAAACUCCUGUCAUUUGGGAACAAUUGUUGGCGAUUAACUGUCGUCAGCUUGAUAGUACCAGAAGAGGAAGAGACGGCUAACUCUGUGCCAGCAGCCGCGGUAAUACAGAGGUCUCAAGCGUUGUUCGGAUUCAUUGGGCGUAAAGGGUGCGUAGGUGGCGGGGUAAGUCUGGUGUGAAAUCUCGGAGCUCAACUCCGAAACUGCACUGGAUACUGCCUUGCUCGAGUACUGGAGAGGAGAUUGGAAUUUACGGUGUAGCAGUGAAAUGCGUAGAUAUCGUAAGGAAGACCAGUGGCGAAGGCGAAUCUCUGGACAGUUACUGACACUGAGGCACGAAGGCCAGGGGAGCAAACGGGAUUAGAUACCCCGGUAGUCCUGGCAGUAAACGGUGCGCGUUUGGUGUGGGAGGAUUCGACCCCUUCU